rnacentral:rRNA from 1 species
CAUGAAGCUGGAAUCGCUAGUAAUCGCGGAUCAGAAUGCCGCGGUGAAUACGUUCCCGGGUCUUGUACACACCGCCCGUCACACCAUGGGAGCCGGUAACGCCCGAAGUCAGUGACCCAACCGAGAGGAGGGAGCUGCCGAAGGCGGGACAGGUAACUGGGGUGAAGUCGUAACAAGGUAGC